GUAAACUGUAAUUUUUUUUAUUUAUUUGUUUUCCACAUCUGUACAUUGGAAAUUUGGAUUCAUGACGUACAAUUGUCUGAUAAGCCCCCAUUUUCUUUUAUAGACAUUAAUCGUUGCUGGUUUUUUGUUUUUACAAUAAAGUAUGCCAUUAUAAUUAUAACAAUAAAUAGAACUCAAUAAAUAAAACAUAGAAUGUUCAAACCAAAGAAAACAUGUAAGACAGAUUAUUAUAUUAUAUUAUCAUUUCUAUGAACUUAUUUAAUUCUGUUUUUUUUUAUUCAACAAAUAUUAAAUAACUAAAUAAUUCUUAUAUGACGUACCGAAACUAAAAAUAGCUAGAUUGUGGUGUAUCCGGUGUACACAAUGAAUGAAGUGUUAAUAAACAAGGUUUUUUGGAGAAUUUGCGUUCUUUUGUUUUCGUCAUCAGAAAGUCACAUUUUCUAAUCUCUUCCUCCAUUGUUGUUUUAUUUGGUUGACGCCACUGAAUUGAACUCUUGCAUCCUUGACCUUCUAGAGCGUAGCGUGCACAUUCCCAACAGUAGGCCUUCACUGUUUUUAAGGACAGUGUAUUUACGAUGGUCAGGUUUGUUCAACCUUAAAACAAUUUUUUGACAACAUUAUCAAAAUAAAUAAAACCAGCUUUUUAAUAAGCAGAGGUGCCAAAUAUAUUAAAUCUAUGUACACAUUAAAUUUAUGAUAAAAUGUUCAGACAAAAAAAAAGCAAACUGAGACCAUAAUUGCUGUACAAGCCCUACAGUUUUAGAACCAUUGAAGUCAUCUAUACUCUGUUAGGCUCAACGUAAUCCAUCUAGAUCUAAGUUGACCUAUUCCUACUCACCUCAUUUUUUAAAUUCCAAUGUUAAAAUGCAAAUCACCCAACCGUUGAAAAGUUCCAACUGUAAAAUUUAAUCUACUUAUGGUUUUGUUGUUUUCGUG